rnacentral:rRNA from 1 species
ACGCUCGACACCUACAGGCAGCAGUGGGGAAUAUUGCACAGUGGGGGAAACCCUGAUGCAGCGACGCCGCGUGGAGGAAGAAGGUCUUCGGAUUGUAAACUCCUGUUGUUGGGGAAAAAGAGGAUGGUGCCCAACAAGGAAGUGACGGCUAACUACGUGCCAGCAGCCGCGGUAAUCUGAGCGGGCUGGCAAGGC